rnacentral:rRNA from 1 species
GACGAACGCUGGCGGCGUGCCUAAUACAUGCAAGUUGAGCGCUGAAGGUUGGUACUUGUACCAACUGGAUGAGCAGCGAACGGGUGAGUAACGCGUGGGGAAUCUGCCUUUGAGCGGGGGACAACAUUUGGAAACGAAUGCUAAUACCGCAUAAAAACUUUAAACACAAGUUUUAAGUUUGAAAGAUGCAAUUGCAUCACUCAAAGAUGAUCCCGCGUUGUAUUAGCUAGUUGGUGAGGCAAAGGCUCACCAAGGCGAUGAUACAUAGCCGACCUGAGAGGGUGAUCGGCCACAUUGGGACUGAGACACGGCCCAAACUCCUACGGGAGGCAGCAGUAGGGAAUCUUCGGCAAUGGACGAAAGUCUGACCGAGCAACGCCGCGUGAGUGAAGAAGGUUUUCGGAUCGUAAAACUCUGUCGGUAGAGAAGAACGUUGGUGAGAGUGGAAAGCUCAUCAAGUGACGGUAACUACCCAGAAAGGGACGGCUAACUACGUG